AACUUUGACCUCAAAUCAGGUAGGACUACCCGCUGAACUUAAGCAUAUCAAUAAGCGGAGGAAAAANUUUAUGUUUAAAAUAUUGACCGCAGA
rnacentral:rRNA from 1 species